GACGAACGCUGGCGGCGUGCUUAACACAUGCAAGUCGAACGGAAAGGCGCUGCUCUUGUUGGGCUCACGAGUGCCGAACAGGUGAGUAACACGUGAGUAACCUGCACCUGACUUUGGGGGAUAUCCAGGAAACUGGGGCUAAUAUCGGAUAGGAUCUCUUGAUGCAUGGUGGGGGAUGGAAAGUUUCGGCGGUUGGGGCUGGUUUCGCGGCUUAUGAGCUUGAUUGUGUGGUAGUGGCUGACCAAGGCUUUGACGGGUAGCCGGCCUGAGAGGGUGACCGGCCACAUGAGGCCUGAGAUAGGGCCCAGUCUCCUACGGGACGCAGCAGUCGGGAAUCUGGCGCAAUGGGCCGAAGUCUGAUGCAGCAACGCCGGGUGCGGGAUGACGUCCUACGGGUUGUAAACCGAUUUCGCCUGUGACGAAGCGUGAGUGACGGUAAUGGGUCAAGAAGCACCGGCUAACUACGUG
rnacentral:rRNA from 1 species